ensembl:lncRNA CAVIN2-AS1 CAVIN2 and TMEFF2 antisense RNA 1
UUACUGAGGAAGCCACAAAUUAAAUAUAAGUCUGCUCUUCAAGAGGUUACAUUCCAGUUAAGGAGAUUGCAUAUCCAUAUUUCCAGAAGUACCAAUGUGAUUGAAGCAAGGGAAAUUGCUAUGGGAUAUCUGACCAACUGGAUAUUCUGCUGGAAGAGCAGAAUGCACUUCAAAGACUAGCCAAUAAAACUCUCAUGGGCUCCUGACACACUGACCUCUGUCAGUUCCUUCAGCACACCAGGCUAAUCCCCAGUCUUGCGCCUUUGGACCAGAGGUUUUCUUUGCUCAGAAUACUGUUUCAACAGAUCUUUGCAUAGCUGGCUCUCGCUAUUUGACUAAAAUGUCAAUCCUCAGAGAGGAUGUAAGCUGUUUAAAGGCAAGGACCUUAUCUGUGUUACAUGCUGUAUUCCCAGGGCUCAGACAGAGCAUGACCUAUCCAUUCUGCAGUGAAAAGGACAUGGACCUUGGAAUUAAAUUUGAGAUUGAACUCAAGAUCCACCUCAACCUACCAACAUAUAUUCGGCAUGUUACCCACCUCUCUGAACCUUGCUUUCCUUCUUUGUACAGAUGGAGGAAAGUCACGACUAACCAUUCUGUUGUGAAAGAUUAAAUAAGAUGGUGCAC